GGGUCAGUAGCUCCAACGGUUAGAGCACUGGUCUCCAAAACCGGGUGUUGCACGUUCGAAUCGUGCCUGACCCG
rnacentral:tRNA from 1 species